CGCAUGGCCAUCCCCGUGAGCUUCCCGGCGCCCCGCCUCGCCCUCUUCUCUAAUUUAGAUUGGUGGCGGCAGGGAGACAUGAGACGUCAGUCAACAUAUGUAAGAGGAACGAUGGAUUGGUCCGGAAAGGUGAGACAUCUCAAAGCAAAGGCGGGACAACUCAAAGUGGGGAGGGGGCUUCCAGGUCUUGGAUAGAGAGAAAAAUGGUUGCAUUCUUUUGAGUUUCUUUCUUUCUUUUUUUUUUGAGAUGGAGUCUCACCCUGUCGCCCAGGCUGGAGUGUAGUGGCAUGAUCUCGGCUCACUGCAACCUCCUCCUCCCAGGUUCAAGCAAUUCUCCUGCUUCAGCCUCCCGAGUAGCUGGGAUUACCACGACCGGCUAAAUUUGUGUAUUUUUAUUAGAGACAGGGUUUCACUAUGUUGGCCAGGCUGGUCUCGAACUCCUGAUCUCAAAUGAUCCACCCACCUCAGCCUCCCAAAGUGUUGGGGUUACAGGCGUAAGCCACCGUGCCCGGUCAUUUUGAGUUUCUGAUUCGCCUCUCCAAAGGAGGCAAUCAGGUAUGCAUUUAUCUCAGUGAGCAGAGGAGUGGCCAUGAAUAGAAUGUGAGGCAGGUUUGCCCUGAGCAGUUUCCACCUUGACUUUUCUUUUAGCUUAGUGAUUGUAAGACCCCAAGAUUUAUUUUCCUUUCUCAGGUUGGAGGGAAAGAGAUGCCACACUACCUUUUAUGAACUAAUGUCCAAAUCGUACAACAUCACUUCUGUCUUCUUCAGUUUAUUAUGAGCAAGUGAAGUCACUAAGUCCAGUAUCUACUCGACAAGGGGGAAUACACAAGAGUGAGAAUACCAGGAGGAAGAAAUCACUGGGAGUUAUCUUGAAGGCUGUGCUAGCAAUCACAGUUUGUCCUCUGACUAGCAAUUCUUCAUGCCAUUUUAACAUGCUAACCACACUCCCCUCCAUCCAAGGUCCCCAAAAGUUACAUUUUUAAAAAUCUUAUGUAGUUUUAAGUAUUACUAUCCUAUUGUCACAUCAGCUUUAAGUCCAGAAUUUUGUCUUCUAAAUUAGAUCAGAUGUAGAUGAGGCUUUCUGAGCGUAGUUCCUUAAAUUCAGCUCCUAGAGUACAAUUCUUCUUGAUCUGUAGACUUUUGAAGCUAAGGAGACAAGUUCUCUGCCCCCAUGCCUCGAAUACACAAUUGCGGGGCCAGCACAGGAUAAUCACUACAGACCUGUUCCGCUACCACUACCACUAGGUAGCCACUACCACUCCUGUUCAAAUGGGGAAAUUGGAAGUACAAACAAGUUACCAGUCCAUAGAAACUCUGCCAUCCAGUCUCAAGGUCUAGGACUCCAUGACUCCCAAUUCCACCAUCUGGGCUCCUGGUUAUACUUCCUUUUUCAUGAAAUGUACCAUGUGUUUGCUAAUGAGUCUUUUUCUCAGUCUGAUUCCUGCUUGUAGAAGUUUGGGGAGAGGGGAUCCAAAGGCCUUUCCCUUCCAGUCCAAUCUGCAAUGUUUGUGUCAAUAAAAUUAUCUUUAAAAAACUUCA
rnacentral:lncRNA from 1 species